rnacentral:rRNA from 1 species
UCGAGAGGCUUCCACAAUGGGGGAAACCCUGAUGGAGCGACGCCGCGUGGGUGAAGAAGGUCUUCGGAUUGUAAAUCCCUUUCGGCAGGGACGAAUAGAUCGGAUAUUAAUAUCAUUCGGUCUUUGACGGUACCUGCAUAAGAAGCUCCGGCUAACUCCGUGCCAGCAGCCGCGGUAAUACGGGGGGAGCAAGCGUUGUUCGGAUUUACUGGGCGUAAAGGGCGUCUAGGCGGAACAGUCAGUCAGGUGUGAAAUCCCCCGGCCCAACCGGGGAACUGCAUUUGAUACUGCUGUUCUUGAGUUCGGAAGAGGGAAGCGGAAUUCCUGGUGUAGCGGUGAAAUGCGUAGAUAUCAGGAAGAACACCGGUGGCGAAGGCGGCUUCCUGGUCCGAAACUGACGCUAAAGCGCGAAAGUGUGGGGAGCAAACAGG